rnacentral:rRNA from 1 species
CGGCGUGGUUGAGAUAUGCAAGUCGAACGAGAUUUUCCGUUGUAGCAAUACGAUGGAAAGUUUAGUGGCGAACGGGUGCUUAACACGUGGGCAACCUGCCAUGAAGUGGGGGAUAGCUCGCCGAAAGGCGAAUUAAUACCGCAUGUGAUUAGAGAGGACAUCCUUUCGAAAUUAAAGUCGGGGCAACCUGACGCUUCUUGUGGGGCCCGCGGCCUAUCAGCUAGUUGGUGAGGUAACGGCUCACCAAGGCUAAGACGGGUAGCUGGUCUGAGAGGAUGAUCAGCCACACUGGAACUGAGACACGGUCCAGACACCUACGGGUGCCAGC